ensembl:snRNA U6 U6 spliceosomal RNA
UGGUACUGGUGCUCAUAUACUAAAACCAGAAUGACACAGAAAAGAUUAGCACAGCCUCUUUGCAAGGAUGGUAUGCAAAUUUGGAUAGCAUUCUAGAUUUUU